UUGACACGUAUACCUCAGGAUAAGUAAAAAUUACUUGGGCAAAUAGGAGAGGAGAGGAAAAAGGAAACCUCUGAAGAGGCUCUGAGCUCACAAUUUCAUAAAGCUGGAGUGAGAAUUGUCUCUAGAAGAGUUGCUGAAGAUGAGGCUAGAGGACCUGAAAGAAAGAUGAUCAAAAUCCUUACGUGCUUGAGUUUGAAGUUCAUUCUGAAAAAAUGCUGUUAGAACACAGUCAUUUAACAAAGGAUGAGGAAUACACAAGCCCAGUUCUUACCAGAGAAGUAGGAAGAGCCCAGUGUUUCUCCUUGAAGAGGGAGCAGGUAACCCCUAGUUUAUAAUGGGGCACGUGGAGGGAUGGGCAAACCCAGUGCAUGUAAACAUGCUCCUCACCCCAAUUCCUGUCUCGGGGAAGUUUCUUAGGAAAUGGGGACCGCUUGAGUCUCAGCGAUAACAACAGCUACAGAAAUAAUGCAGUAUCCCAGAAAUAGCGUCUUUCAGAGCCACGUCUGAGACAAACACCUAUCUUGGUGAUGCCAAGGUGAUAAGCAACAACUUUUGGUGCUCAGGUAAAAGAGGAGGAAUACCAUCAGUAAUCUCCUAUAGGUGACUCCCCCCACCCCCGACAUCCUCCUUUGUAGCUGAAGAUAGUAUUUAAGAUGAGAACCUCCACCAUUUUGAGUUUCUGGCUUGCUUCAUUUCAGGACUUAUCGUAUUUGUGGGGUGCUGUAGAACACAUUGACCGCAUCACAUCAUGGAUUAUUCUCCACUGAAAGUCUGCAGAUCCCCUAAUUCCAAAAGGCAAUGGCAAUAGUAAGGAGAAGUUCCAGGUUAGGGUCAGCCACAAGGAAGAUUCCUGAGAUAUUUAGAGGGUAAAAGAAGAGCAGCGGCCAUUUUGUAGUUGAUACUCAGUUACCAACGUGCUGACUCACUUCAUGGGCUUGAAGCAAGAGCUGGGUCUGCAAUUUCUCUACCCUCUCUUGGAUUCCUCCUUCAGUUUCUCUGACUCGUAGGUCAGGUCCUGAAGAUUAGAACAUGGAUUCCUGGUAACCAUACCUAAAAAUUCUGCCUACUACUGACGGAAAGAACAUAUUAUUCACUGGGUGCGCUUCUCAGAACCUAGCAGAGCUUCUGAUAUAAAAGAUAAUUGAUGCUUGAGUUAAUUUUUAAGUUGAACUGACUUCAGUUUCAAUUAUUACCAUGUUUUUAAAUUAUCUGUUUUAGUUGCAUGCAUAGUGAAAAAAAUACUUUAAAUAGCGAAUAAGGAAAUAAAAUAGCAAUACAGAAGUAACUGCAAUCCUUUCAUGAUGAACACUGAUCCAUAGGAAAAGAGACUAAAAAAGGAAGAAAAAAUGCCACAAAAUAGAAAGAAAGAAAACCUCUUGAAAAAGGAAAGUGGAGUUUUGCAUAUUUUACAGCUGAGUCUAUCAAAUUUCAAGCUCAAUAAGUAAAUGAUAGUUCUAAGUUAGAAAAGUUGCCUUACUAUUAAAAUGCUUUGAUUAUGUUAAUGACAACAGGUUUUCUAAACCUAAAUCUGCUUAAACUUCAAACAGAAAUCUGGUUUGGAGCUGUAGAAAAGCAAUGCUUGCUAGGGUGCCCUAAAGUGUGCUGUGAUGAAUUAGCGUUUUUGAUUUGGAGGUGAGGCUAUUUUCAUACAUGUAUUUGCGCAUUUGUUUAUGUAAAUCAUCACAGUGUUUUCAGGGUUGCUGUCUCCCUGUAUAUAUGCCAAGACUCUAAUACUUUUUGGCGAUUAUGGCCUCCUUCCCUUCUGCUGAUUGCAGCCUGAGCUUCAUUUUGUGCUAAGGCAUAUAAAGUGAUGACAAAGGUGGACAAUUGUUUCUGGCUGCAGCUCACCCAAAUAAAACUGUUUCAAUUGAUUCAGAGCACUUAUGUCAGCCAAGACCCUAUACUUCUUGACACUGCAUUUUUCCCAGUGAAUAAUAAAUCACUGUGUUUCCAACAACAGCCUCUCUCCCUCUGCCUUUCUCUCUUCUUCCACCAUUAGUCAUGCUGGUCUAGCUCACCACCUGUCACUUGGCAUGCUUCUGCAAAUACUGUUACCCAUGUAGAAAUGGAUUUGGUUUCACUGAAGUUGGGAACACACCUGUGCUUACUUGGGUCUGCAACCCACCAGCUGUAAUCCCUUUAAAGGUAUUUUUUGGCUGUUCCUAUGUAUUCCAUCUGCUCUUUCUUGGCGUGGAUUUUUCAAACAUUUCUAUCAUUAGAAUUCUGAAUUUCAGGUAAUAUAAAUAUGCCUCACAACAAAAUGCAUAAGUAGAUAAAUACAUGGUGGGUAAUCUCGAAAGGAAGAUUAAUGUUAAGUCAUUAACUUGUGUAUGAUUCAUAUACCUAAGCUCCUUUAAUUCUCCCAACAAAUCUAAUGAGGGAAAAUUAUGCAUUAUCCUCAUCAAAUAGGUGAGAUAGUUAGACUUAGGAGAAGCAACUUACCUAGAUCGUUCACCAACUAAGUGAAAGAUCCUGGACUCCAAAUAAGGAGUCUCUGAUUGCAAAGCCCCUGUAAUUGUCCCUUUAGAAGUCACAUUUUCUGCUUAACCAUGCUGCUUUCUUUUAUCCAUUCAUCCAACAUUCAAAGGAUCCCUACUAUGACCCAGACACUGUGCUGUUGGCAAAAUAUUUGUAGCGGCAAGCACACAGUCCUGUCCCACAGAUGCUGGUAGACCAGCAGAAUGAAUGCUCAUGUAAGUGAAUAAUUAUAAUGCAGAUUUUUAAAGGUGCUGCAAGGAAAGUAGGUCUCAAGGUAGAUCUAUCUAGAGUUGCUCUUUGAAUGUAGUAGUCACUACCUGUGUGUGGUUAUUUAAAUAAAUAAAAUUAUUCUAUAAGUAAAAUUAAGAAUUCAGUGUCUCAGUUGCACCAAUCAAACUUCAAGCCUCA
ensembl:lncRNA